GUCGAGCGAAGCACCUAAGAAAGAUUCUUCGGAUGAAUUCUUUUGCGACUGAGCGGCGGACGGGUGAGUAACGCGUGGGUAACCUGCCUCAUACAGGGGGAUAACAGUUAGAAAUGACUGCUAAUACCGCAUAAGACCACAGCACCGCAUGGUGCGGGGGUAAAAACUCCGGUGGUAUGAGAUGGACCCGCGUCUGAUUAGCUAGUUGGUAAGGUAACGGCUUACCAAGGCGACGAUCAGUAGCCGACCUGAGAGGGUGACCGGCCACAUUGGGACUGAGACACGGCCCAAACUCCUACGGGAGGCAGCAGUGGGGAAUAUUGCACAAUGGGGGAAACCCUGAUGCAGCGACGCCGCGUGAGCGAAGAAGUAUUUCGGUAUGUAAAGCUCUAUCAGCAGGGAAGAAAAUGACGGUACCUGACUAAGAAGCACCGGCUAAAUACGUGCCAGCAGCCGCGGUAAUACGUAUGGUGCAAGCGUUAUCCGGAUUUACUGGGUGUAAAGGGAGCGUAGACGGAUGGGCAAGUCUGAUGUGAAAACCCGGGGCUCAACCCCGGGACUGCAUUGGAAACUGUUCAUCUAGAGUGCUGGAGAGGUAAGUGGAAUUCCUAGUGUAGCGGUGAAAUGCGUAGAUAUUAGGAGGAACACCAGUGGCGAAGGCGG
rnacentral:rRNA from 1 species